rnacentral:rRNA from 1 species
GAUGAACGCUGGCGGCGUGCUUAACACGUGCAAGCCGAACGGAAAGGCCCAAGCUUGCUUGGGUACUCGAGUGGCGAACGGGUGAGUAACACGUGGGUGAUCUGCCCUGCACUUCGGGAUAAGCCUGGGAAACUGGGUCUAAUACCGGAUAGGACCACUUCUUGGAUGUUGUGGUGGAAAGUUUUUUCGGUGUGGGAUGAGCUCGCGGCCUAUCAGCUUGUUGGUGGGGUAAUGGCCUACCAAGGCGUCGACGGGUAGCCGGCCUGAGAGGGUGUACGGCCACAUUGGGACUGAGAUACGGCCCAGACUCCUACGGGAGGCAGCAGGGGGGAAUAUUGCACAAUGGGCGCAAGCCUGAUGCAGCGACGCCGCGUGGGGGAUGACGGCCUUCGGGUUGUAAACUCCUUUCGCUAGGGACGAAGCGUUUUGUGACGGUACCUGGAGAAGAAGCACCGGCUAACUACGUG